rnacentral:rRNA from 1 species
GAUGAACGCUGGCGGCGUGCCUAAUACAUGCAAGUCGAGCGAACAGACGAGGAGCUUGCUCCUCUGACGUUAGCGGCGGACGGGUGAGUAACACGUGGAUAACCUACCUAUAAGACUGGGAUAACUUCGGGAAACCGGAGCUAAUACCGGAUAAUAUAUUGAACCGCAUGGUUCAAUAGUGAAAGACGGUUUUGCUGUCACUUAUAGAUGGAUCCGCGCCGCAUUAGCUAGUUGGUAAGGUAACGGCUUACCAAGGCAACGAUGCGUAGCCGACCUGAGAGGAGGAGCGGCCACACAGGGAGUGAUACAAGGAAAAGACUCGAAGGGGGAGCAGCAGUAGGGGAGCGAGUGAAAUGGGUGAAAGCCUGAAGAAGCAAAGUUGUGUGAAAAAAGAAGGUUUUAAGAUCGUUAAACUCUGCUAGUAGGGAAGAACAAAGAUGUAAGUAGCUAGGCACGUCUUGACGGCAGCAGAUAAGAAGGCCAGGGCUAGCUACGUG